CAGAGGCACCGACUUAUAAUGCUGUUGUGGCGGCUUACUGCUGGUCAAUGAAGAUGGCUGAUGCAUAUAGGAUGGUAAAUGAGAUGAGGAAAUUUGGCAUCGGUCCGAAUUCGAGGACUUACGACAUCAUAUUACAUCACUUGAUAAAGGGUAGGAGAUCAAAGCAAGCUUAUUCUGUUUUCCAAAGAAUGAGUAGCGAGCCGGG
rnacentral:misc_RNA from 1 species